rnacentral:rRNA from 1 species
UACGUAGGGUGCAAGCGUUGCCCGGAAUUAUUGGGCGUAAAGAGCUCGUAGGCGGUCUGUCACGUCGGCUGUGAAAUCCCGAGGCUCAACCUCGGGUCUGCAGUCGAUACGGGCAAACUAGAGUAUUGCAGGGGAGACUGGAAUUCCUGGUGUAGCGGUGAAAUGCGCAGAUAUCAGGAGGAACACCGGUGGCGAAGGCGGGUCUCUGGGCAAUAACUGACGCUGAGGAGCGAAAGCGUGGGGAGCGAACAGG